CGCGGGGUAGUGUAGUAGUAGCAUACGAGGCCCAUAACCUCGUGGGGCCGGUGCAAUUCCGGCUCCCGCAA
rnacentral:tRNA from 1 species